GUAAAACUAGUGGGCUGGCAGAGGUGCUGCUGGGACGGCAUACGCUUCAGCUUUGCAAAACCGGUUCCUCUCUGGUGCCACCAAAGUCCCGGGAGGUGCAAAGCGCUGGAGCUGAGAAAAGGGAAGGAGGAAGAAGGCAACCAUCUCCGGGAGAUGAGACGCAAUGAAGUGGACUGAGACGUGGGGGACUGGAGUGACCCGAGACCUUUUGCCUGGUGGUGGUGGAAGGUGUCCAUUGUCAUCCUCUGCAACAUGAUGUACUUCAUGAUGUCCUAACUUGGGCUACCAAUUUCCUGGUUAUCGCUGUGAUACAGUUCCCAGCUGUUGACAAGGGCAAGAUCUGUGAAGUGCAUCAGCAUGCGAAUGGUCCACUUUUUUGUUCGCACACUCAUUCGGUAGUCGCUUAUCAUCCUAUCUGACAAGUCAACUCCUCCCAUCUUUGAGUUGUACUCACGCACAACACAUCUUUUUUCUUUCUUGGACCACUGCUGGCAAAUGUCUUCUGGCUGCUCAGCAUGAACAGUGGAGAACAACAAAACUGGGGUUUUCUCAUGUGGUAGCUUUUUCAUUGCUUGAGAGACCCGGUUCUUCCUCACUGUACCAGUAAGGUACACCGCAUUUCUCAGCAUGUGAUCAAUAGCUUGUGUGCUGGUGAAGACGUGGACACAAUACACUUUAGUACCAGCAGUCAGAGUUUCGCAGAGAUGUUUGAUGACAAAUGUUCCUCAACCCAAUCCUUCUGAACCCUGCACCUGCAAAGCUAGUGUCUUUGAACGUUGGUAGACUUCAAAGUCUAGCACUAUUCCAUCCACUGAUGCCAGCACGAAGUCCUUCAUUCCCACUGGAUUCGGCUUUAGUGGCAAAUACUGCCGGAAUGUACAUGCCCAUGUAAUUGGGAUCAUCGGUCUACUGAAAACCUUUGAGUAUCCGCUUCAUGAAAAGACUAACUUUCCAGAAUCUGUCGGCACCGUCGGCAAACAACAGUAUGUCUGAACUUUCUUAAAAUGAAUGACCAGUCGCCUCAGUGCAACACUUAUAAUGAGAUUAUAUUGUGCAAAGGAGAGUCAAAUGUUAAUUUUAGUCUAUGAUGCGGGCUGCUGAGAAAAUGGAUGUUCAUAAUUUGGACACCCUUUAUAUAAACCAUGCAAACCUUUUUGACCCAGCACUCUAAAAUAAUCGGAAUCGAGAAUCUUUUAGAACUGGAAUCUAACUAAGGAACCGGAAUCGGAAUCGCUCAAAUUCAAAUGAUGCCCAACCCUAUACGCCACAUAAUCCAUUGGCAGCCAAUCACUUCGCUCAUUUUGCAAAUAAUCUUCAACCUGAAACGUGUAUUUACACUUGCAAACCUUUCUAAAUCGUUAGUUUAUUUAACUACAUGCAUAAGCAGAUGUGCCACUUGAAGGAACUAAUUACAACUCAAGGAACUAAUUAAUUCAACUGAAUAAUCACGUUUAGUUGACCACAUGGCACAAACAAUACCGUUACAUAAUCCCAAUGUCCUCAAACAAGUACAUAAGAUUUAUUGAUGUUUUACUCUGAAGAUGUUACUAAAAUGUGUCAAAUUUGAAUUUCAUAUCAAGCUAGAGAUGUUUUUGUACACAAAUACACUGAUUUCAUUCUGAAAAUUUUGUUUAGGGUUUUACAGUUCUCAAUUUUCCUGUAGAAGUCUUUUGCAGAUAUUGCCACCAUUUUAUUUUCACUGAAAUGGGUGUAAUGUUGUGAUAUGACCACAAGAUAGUGGCCGCAGUGUCCCCAAAUGUAGCUCAUAAGUCAAAGUUUAGAAAAGUGAAGUAUCAUGGGUCUGAGAGGCAUACAUGUAAUGGCCUCACAUGAGCAUGCAGGGUCUCAGGUGGCUAGUGUCAUGUGGAUCUGGAUCUGACUCGUCAUGGCAUAGUUUUUUCUAGUAAGGAUCUUCCAAUGAUCUCACGAAGUUGAAGCAGAGGUAAGAAAGACAGGAUUCACUAAGAGCCCCCCCGCACCACACACAAAAAUCAAUGAAGAUCAUGCUACACUUAUAACGCACAUCUAUGUCUGUCUACUUUGGAGUUUUUGGCACAGAUCAUGCCACGUGCAAUUAGGCGGACACUAAACUGAACCAUCGCAAACCAAUUACGGUCGGCAACUCCCUGCUGCAUAUCUACUACCAAUGUGCUGCAAAGGAAAAACUGUGACCCUUGGUGUUCUUAUUGGCACAAUAUUUUGAGGUUUCACAUGAACUAGACUGUAUUUGUUUUGGGGGGGAGGCAAGAAUAAAGGACAGUGUGGAUAUUUGAGAGGUUACUGACAAUGAUAGCCCCAUUCAUUGACUCCACUCGUGCAUGUCGAUGCCGGAGACUUGCCACAUUUUGCUUUUUAGCCAGAGGUACUUAUGACGUUAUAAAAAUAGUUUUUUUUAUUAAUAGUAAUAUUGUUAAGCACUACAUAUACAGUAUACUGCUUUUACUGUAUAGGAACAGCUUUGCAGCAGCUGGCUGGAUCUCGCUUUUUGGUGUGAAAGAUCAAUUUAUCACAACAUGGCAUUUCUCAUUGGCCGUUAGUAGGGUUGCCGCUAUCGAAUAUUUUCAGAAUUUAUUAUUCUAUCGCUCAUUCCAUCAAUUAAUCGAACAAUGUAAAAUACUGUUCUUCCAAUUAGUCUUUCUUACCUGAUUAUUUGUAUUCAUUUGCUUUUGUAUAAUGAUUCAACAAAACCGAAUAAAAAAAACAAUUAAUUAAACAACAUCACACGAGAGGGAGUGAUGUUGUAUUCACCAACCCGUUCGAAACAGAGAGCUACUUAAUGAGAGUACUAAUUAAUGAGAAGGGAUAACUGAGGCGAAAACUACACAACCUCGCAACCUGCAUGACAGUUCGGCGGCGUUCAGUGAAGUCACGUUGAUUGGUGUGCGGCGGGAGAGUUUAAGAGAAUUACCGUGCUUUGCUGUUAGCAUUGUUUAGACCAUUAACAUUGAGCCCGAAUCAGCUUCUUGAUUGACAGCGAGCACCACCAUUCAUACUUCGUGGUCACACUAUAUUGCAGAUCUUGAUUUCAGAUAUUUUUUAUACUGUUUGUACAAUAGUUGUGUGUCGUCCAUUGCUCUUGCGCUCUCUCAAUUUAUUAUGUGUUUAAAUGUGUUUGUAUUGUUUUCUGUGUUUAUAGGCCUUUCCAAAGAUUUAAGUGCCGUAAAUGCAACAACAUGUCUAGGGUGUAUUUAAAUAGAGGAUUUUUAUUUCAUGAAUUUCACUUAUUGGACUGGAAUUUGAACAGAAGUACAAUACUUGAGUUCAUGUGAAUGUGAAAGGUCCGGUUCGACUGGGUUUGCCUUGGACCACGCCACUGUGCUGAGAAACAGCGACGGCCAGCCACACAAACUGUGACAGUAUGGUGGAUCGCUUGUGCUUUGAUUUAAGAAGGAAGAUAGCCAGCUAGCUAGCCCGCUAGCUGCACUACACUUCAGCCGUGGACCAAUGGUUAAGAUUAUCGCCUGCCACCGUGGGGGACCUAGGUUCAAGACCCCGACUGGACCAUCCGCCAACAUCCAAGGUGAUACUGAUUCUUCUUCUUCCUCGCGGUUAUAUGCUUCAUUUUGGCGCUGAGAGGCGACCUGGCUGGCCACUCUGGCCUGCCCAGGCUUCUCUUUACCGAUCGAUUGAGAGGCUGGUGGCGGCUCCGUUCCCCGCACGUUAAAGCCGGUGAGCGUCUCCGCCCAGCCCGCAGCGAGGAAAAACCCAAGUGAAUUAACUCCCCUGCAGUAGCUGAUGAAUACAAAAAAUAUUUGCACCUUUUCCCAUCCAAGGCAAAAGAGCAUGUGCUUUAACACCAUUAGGAGUUUAUCUGUGCCUGUGCCUGAUACCGGUGUGAACAAGGUUUUUCACUGUGCAAGAUGCAGACAAAGCAGUACAGAUGCGUAAUUGUCUUGGAAAUUAAAUGAGGGCUGAGUCCCACAUCCCAAGUCUAUCACUCAACCCAUACAAGCACCGCAUGCUACUCCAAAUACAGAAUAAUAGCUAAGUGAAAUAUUCUUUGGUUGGAACCUCAAGGAUGGGGACUGGUUGUCGCACUAGUGUGAUCCCUCAAGAUGUGAUUUAUUUCUUGUGUAAACAAUGUGUUAUUCUUUUCAUGUUUGUUUGGUUCCUUACCAACCCUCUUUGAAGCUGAGUGGAUCUGUAAUACAUUCUGCGUUUUGAUGAGACCAAAGCAAGGAGUGGGAAUGAAAUAUAGGCAAUGAAAAAGCCACAAGCCACAUUCCAUUGAGUGAGAAAGAGCCUGCUUGCUGGUUUAUAUUGAUAUUGCGGUUGAUUUAACGCCAUCUUAUCUGCUGAGAAAACAUCGUUACAUUGGAUUUACAUUCUGAGAAUCUAAAACAAUAUUAAAUAAUUCUGUGGAAAACUUGGAAAUGUACUGAUGUUUAAGACAAAAAAGAUAAAAUGUUUACAUUGAGAACAUAAUUUAAUUUAGUCCUUUUAGCAAAAUCACUAACAAUAUCGUAUGUUUUCAUCACGUGUAAAUGAAAAUGAAGCAGUUGUAACUGAAAUGCCAUCGACUUUAAUCUACAACAUUGAACGAUGACUGUUCAUGAUAUAACCCAUGUUUCCUUUAGCAUCAUGAAACUCAUCCUAAAAUGUGCAAUGUGUAUUUAACAAGAAAUCUUCCUUUCUGGUUUGUCUGCAAGGUUCCAUGCCAAGUAUAGUAUAUAGUAUAGUUCCCCCGCCCCCCACCACCCCCCCAAUGUGAAAUGAGAGCAGUGGUUUAAUGCAUAGCAAAUACAACUAGGUAUCGAUCCACAGUGCGGUGGAAGAAGAAGAGGAGAGAGGAUGCUAAAGGUCAAAGGAGGAGGUGUUAGUUUAAUCGGUUCAUACCUUUCGUGAGCACGGCACAGGCAUGUUGACCACAUUAGGGGGCCAGAGUAAAGGGACUGAACACUUCUGCAGGCAGACAAACCGGUCCCAGGCUCAAGGUCGGUCAUUACCUGAGGGAAAGAGGCGGCAUGUGACUUAGGGCAAGGAAUGCUUACACUAAUCUUGAAAUGGCCUGACCGAUCGAUGGCAUUAAGCUCCCCGUGAAAGAGAGAAAUCAAUACGUUUUAAAGGCAAAGCAGGCUGCAUGUGGUUUGCGCGUGUGGCCCGCACUCCUGGCUCCAGACGUGUUCAGACUCCAGCUGCUUGCUCGAAUGGCAACCACACGUCCGUUUGUGGAAAAUGUGUUGAAAUCACACUUGUCCUACUUUGAUUGCUCCUCGCUCGCAGCAUAAUGUGUUGGAGAAGCACAAAUGCCAUACCAACAGGGAGUAAUCAAUUGAGCAAGAUGAUGCACAGCUCGGAAAACAAGCACAUAAAUACACUGAUAAAUGAACCAAACAACCUGUGACGCUUAGAGGAAUUUAAGUGCUUGUUUAAAGACUGUAAUGUAAUCAGUGUUACAGUUAAUAACAGGAAGGGCCUCCAGUGGUACAAUUGAAGAACUGGUGGGCUGGCCAUUUGGCCCACAGUGCAAUUCUGAGAACAAAUGAAACCUCGUGGAAACUGUUAUAAAAACCCACAACUACUCAUAAAAUAUAAUAAUACAUAUUUAUUAGAUUUUGUAUGAUUUAUUUUUACAAAAUACAUUUAAUAUGGCCCUAAAGGGAUGAUGAAAAAGUUUCCACUACCAUGCUUUACAACAUCUUGUAUCCCUCGCCUCUAAUUCCCCACAUAUGCCCGCUUCCAUCUCUAAUAUCCCACAAAAAAGUCAGUUGUAAUUUACUGUUGACUUGGCAUCUGGGCCAAGCGAGUGUGAUUAGGUGGAGGCGGCAGUUAAGAAUAAUCCAGAGAGAAAUGACAGACUGUCAAAUAAUACCUGCACUAAAAAUGACCACAUAGAAACCUCUGUGGAAAUAAGUGAAAAAAAACAGGAACACUUCAGCAAACCAAUGUCAGUAAAUACAGU